rnacentral:rRNA from 1 species
UACGGGGGGGGCAAGCGUUGUUCGGAAUUACUGGGCGUAAAGGGCUCGUAGGCGGCCAACUAAGUCAGACGUGAAAUCCCUCGGCUUAACCGGGGAACUGCGUCUGAUACUGGAUGGCUCGAGUUUGGGAGAGGGAUGCGGAAUUCCAGGUGUAGCGGUGAAAUGCGUAGAUAUCGGGAGGAACACCUGUGGCGAAAGCGGCUCACUGGACCACAACUGACGCUGAUGCGCGAAAGCUAGGGGAGCAAACAGG